rnacentral:rRNA from 1 species
UACGAAGGGGGCUAGCGUUGCUCGGAAUCACUGGGCGUAAAGGGCGCGUAGGCGGCCAUUCAAGUCAGGGGUGAAAGCCUGAAGCUUAACUUCAGAACUGCCUUUGAUACUGUUUGGCUUGAGACCGGAAGAGGUAAGUGGAACUGCGAGUGUAGAGGUGAAAUUCGUAGAUAUUCGCAAGAACACCAGUGGCGAAGGCGGCUUACUGGUCCGGUUCUGACGCUGAGGCGCGAAAGCGUGGGGAGCGAACAGG